CAGGUGAAGCAAUUGACUAACAAUAUACCAUACAUAUUAGACACUGUACUGCUAUCAAAUGUAGUGGAGGUACAGGGCGAUAAAAUAAGGAAGCGUAACGAUUGGAUGACUUGGGUUCUGCACCCAGUAGACAAUUUGGUUUCUGCUUCUGGCCUACAAUCUCCAAUAGCCAAUUUUGGUCUGGAAGCUCAUUUUGACAAUAUUUACUUAGACUUGGAUGAUCCUAAAAACACCGGCUUGAGUGGAUUAGCAAAAAAUGAGGCAGGUUUUGCAAGGUCGGCCUCCGUGAAACUAAAUAGUCAGAUAUCUGUAAGAAAUUCUGAGGAUGGCGAUGUUCAAGUGGGUACGUAUUCUGAUCGUAUCAGGAAAAUGAGAACUCUACUCAGAAGUGAUACAAUGUAAGUUUGAUUUUGGAAGUUUAUAAAUGAUAUUUUGUCUGAUUAUAGUGUCUGAAACAUUGUUUGAGUGACUUGGUAAACUCCAAAUUCUGAAUUCAUCCCCCGUCUAUAUAUUGUAAAACACAGGGUGCACGUUAGAAUUAUAAACUUACCACUUCACUUGGAUAGUGUUUAUGGUCACUGUACCUUGACAAAAUAUCAUUACUCUGUGUAAUUAAGAAGGGCCUAUCAAUUGCAUGAACUAUAUUUUGGGACAUCGUGGGGGCGGGGGCGGGGUUAAGAUAGACAAAUAAGAGAUAUAUGAAUGCUCGCUUGUACAGAC